rnacentral:rRNA from 1 species
GACGAACGCUGGCGGCGUGCUUAACACAUGCAAGUCGAACGGAAAGGCCCUGCUUUUGUGGGGUGCUCGAGUGGCGAACGGGUGAGUAACACGUGAGUAACCUGCCCUUGACUUUGGGAUAACUUCAGGAAACUGGGGCUAAUACCGGAUAGGAGCUCCUGCUGCAUGGUGGGGGUUGGAAAGUUUCGGCGGUUGGGGAUGGACUCGCGGCUUAUCAGCUUGUUGGUGGGGUAGUGGCUUGCCAAGGCUUUGACGGGUAGCCGGCCUGAGAGGGUGACCGGCCACAUUGGGACUGAGAUACGGCCCAGACUCCUACGGGAGGCAGCAGUGGGGAAUAUUGCACAAUGGGCGGAAGCCUGAUGCAGCAACGCCGCGCGCGGGAUGACGGCCUUCGGGUUGUAAACCGCUUUCGCCUGUGACGAAGCGUGAGUGACGGUAAUGGGUAAAGAAGCACCGGCUAACUACGUG